GGCACUGCUAGUUUGGUUUGCCACCGUAACAAACUCCAGAGGUAAUAACCAAAUAUCAGGCGGUUAUCGAAGUUCAAGAAAUACAAGGUCUGGAAUGUCAAUUCAAACACAAGAAACAACUUCAAGUAGACAUUAUUUUAUGGAACUCUUCUGGCAAUCAAGAUGCAAAGGGAAAAUUAUUAUCCCUGUGAUAUUUAGGAGGAUUUCAAAGUUCACUGUGAAUCAAAUGUACAAAGAAGCAAAACAUCUUCAAUCAAUUCCUGUUCUCUCACUAGCUGCUGCUUUAGUACCUCCAUUUGAAAAUUUUAGUGCUAUGGAAUCACACAGUGGUGAGGAUCACCGGCCCUGUGAGGUAGAUCACCGGGGAUGUGAUAAUUCAUUUUUCCAGAAUUUAAAUUGGUCUAGACAUGCAGUUGAGCCCAGAACGGGUAUUGAGUUUCCUACUAUCUUGGACAACCUAAUAGCUGGGGAGCAAAAUUCCAGUUUCACAUCAGAGGUCCUUGUUGGGACUGGAUCCAGAAUAAUGAAAAUUAUCAGAAUCAAAUCUCUAAAGGUUUAUGCAUUUGGUUUCUAUGUGCAUCCUUUUGAUGUCUGCCAGAAGUUGGGUUGGAAAUAUGCCUCAGUUCCUUUUUGUGAACUGAACAAACAACAAGAUUUUUAUCAGGAUCUUCUCAGGGAAGACAUAAGCAUGACUGUAAGGCUUGUUGUUAGCUGCAAUGGAAUCAAAAUCAACACAGUUCGAGAUGUCUUUGAGAAAUCUCUUCGAGCUCGGUUGUUCAAGGCAAAUCCUGACACCGAUUAUCACUGUCUAGAAACAUUUGGUUCUAUGUUCUCUCAGGAUAUUCCUAUACAUGCAGGUACAACAAUCAAUUUUCGACGAACAACUGAUGGACAUUUAAUUACUGAGAUCGGAGGCAACCAUAUUGGAGCAGUUCAGAGUAGAGAAUUGUGUAGGGCAAUUUUUGAUAUGUACAUUGGUGAUGUUCCUAUAUGUGAGGAUACAAAAGAAGAGAUCGGGAAAAAUGUUGCAAGUAUAAUUAGGGGGUGUUAAAAAGAUGGGGUGCUUCUACAAGAGCUUAUUUGCUUGUAAUAGUUCAGGUUCUUGUGAACUGGACUUUUUCAUAGUGCAGUUCAUAGCGUCUCGAGUAAGACAUAAAUCUCAGAAUGAACAUAGGUUUCAUGAGGAUAAAUGAUUGUUAGUCUUAUAUAUGUAGAAUUAUUUAUUUUAGGCAGGGUUCUUAUAUUCAAAAUUGAUUAGAAUACAAGAUUUCUUGUAACCUUGUUGGCGAGCUGCCAUUACAGAGCUGCCCCUCUGCCAACUGUUGUAAAUGAAAAGAGAGCUUGUUC
rnacentral:misc_RNA from 1 species